rnacentral:rRNA from 1 species
ACUCAAAGGAAUAGACGGGGGCCCGCACAAGCGGUGGAGCAUGUGGAUUAAUUCGAUGCAACGCGAAGAACCUUACCAGGGCUUGACAUGGAGAUGCAGUAUUCAGAGAUGGAUAUGCCCUUCGGGGCAUCUCACACAGAUGGUGCAUGGUUGUCGUCAGCUCGUGUCGUGAGAUGUUGGGUUAAGUCCCGCAACGAGCGCAACCCUUAUCUUUAGUUUCCAGCACAUAAUGGUGGGCACACUAGAGAGACUGCCGUGGAUAACACGGAGGAAGGUGGGGAUGAUGUCAAAUCAUCAUGCCUCUUACGUCCUGGGCUUCACACGUGCUACAAUGGUCUAUACAAAGUGACGCAAGACUGCGAAGUGGAGCGAACCACAAAAAAAGACCUCAGUUCGGAUUGUAGGCUGCAACUCGCCUGCAUGAAGUUGGAAUCGCUAGUAAUCGCGAAUCAGCAUGUCGCGGUGAAUACGUUCCCGGGCCUUGUACACACCGCCCGU